UUUCUCUUCUUUAGAAGAGAGUUUUUCGACAUGUAUGCUUAGAAACAAGCUUGAGGCUAUUUCAGUCAUUUCUCAUCAGCUAUAUACGUGCCCUUUGGUGCUCUUCCCAGAUAUACGUGUAGGUUUUCUGCUACUCCAUAUGUAUGCUUUUCUUCUUUUUCAACAUAAACAUAUUCCUUGGCUAAGCACACACAAGAAAAGGCAUAGAGAAACGAUCCAUCACAAGAUCAAAAUCAGGUAAAUCAGUUUUUACUCUGGGUUGUGGUAGCCGUCUCCUCUGCAUCAUCCUUUCUAGCGAUUCGCUGUGGUUGUUUUCUACCUCUGUUAUUCAGUGGCACUUGAACCGAAAGGAAAUAGAUGCGUGAAUAUGUCGAGUAAAAAUCAUAAAAAUGAAAGUUGUGAAAAAAUAUAUGCUGACAAGAAGGCUAGGCGACGCGAAUUAUACAAGAUGAUGCAAGACGAUAAAAAGGAGGCUCUCCUAGUGCGAGCACGCGCACGAGCAAGUAAGGACGAAACAAGUGGUCGGCAACUUCCUGUUUGCUCACUAAUUAAUAGCUCUCUUAU